UCAUUGGGAAGUUCCAUUCAAUUCAAAAGGCUUUAUUGGCAUGACUGCAUACAACACAACGUUGCCAAAGCAUGUUUACACAAAUAUAUAUUUUGCUGCCAGUCUACAGCAGUCCUCCCUCUCUCCCAGCAGAACUGUCCAGAUCAUUUAGAUGGUGGAAUUCUGGGAAAAGUUCCAUACGACUGUGUUAUAGUGUUAUUAUUCGAAAUGACUGUUGAUGUCUAAAGAUGACAAUGUCAUGUUACCAUCAUCAAUACUUGUAAUGACAGGCACUCAUUUUGUCAGACAAUGUAAAAGCCUGUGUUCCAUGCCAUUAAGCCGUCAUUGCAUCAAAUAUUAUAACAGACAUCAAGACACUAACCGGUAAUGAAUACAUUACACUGUUAUAUCUUUGGAAAUGUCAUGAAUACUUACUACAGAACAUGACAUCUUUCAUGGUAUGUGUAUUACAUGGUUAUGAUGAUUGUAUGAUGGACAAUUUAAGUAAGGUCUCUCAAUCUUUUUCCAGUUAAUCAUCACUGGAGGUCAUCACUGAAGCAAUGAGGUGAAUUAUUUUUAGCGUGCCCAUUUUGGUUUUAUUUUAUUUUAUAAAAUGUUUUGGCAUGAGUGCCUAAACCUUAUUUUGCCUUUGACUCAUUUCCCUAGUUGCACCAUAGCAGUCACUGCUCCUGUGUAUUUUAUAGGUCAGUCUCUGAUUAGAAGACCCAAUGUAAUCUCUCAUACUUCUCUAGAGGAUGGAGAUACAAGUCUAAUCCAAAGAGUAACUCUGUUCUCUGGGUACACACACAGAUCACUCCUCGGUGGCCAGAAAACACUGAGCCCUUGAUCGCUUUUGGAUUAGUACUAUGGCCUUUUCCGAGACAUCAUCUGCAAUCGUUUAUCGCGACUGCAAACUGUUGUGUCAUAUGCCCCAACCUAUAAUAUCGGUAAUAUCAGCACUGACACAAUAUGUUAAUCUGCUUGAGGUAACUUGUGAAAUUCCUCAUUGGUGCGUGUAAGGCUGUGUCGAUGCCCGGGGGCGAUUACUUUACAGCUUCUUAUAGGCCAUUUAACAUCGUUAAGGCGGAAUCUAAACUAGCCAUUUGCCAGAGGAACAGAGCUGUAAAAGCAAUACAUUUGUUUACCCUUUUAAUGUCACAUCCAGGAACAGGGCAUGCCGCUGGCGCAGUCUCAUCGCACGCUGUAGCACAGAAACAUUACAUCACUGUGCAUUCCGCUGAUUCAUAUUUCUUCACAAGACAUUGCUUGUAGCUAGUUCUGUUGCAUGAACUAAUAUGUAUUCUCCAUGAACUCAUUAUCUCUAAGCUUGUCAGUUGGAGGCAGUGUGGUAUCAGGCACGGCCUUAUCUAAAACUAUGACUGGAUCAGUGAGAUACUUAAGGGAUUUUACACUCCUUUGCCCUACCAACCGAGUCCCAUUGUUGAACUUAUAUCCCUCUUGCUGGAUGCUUCAGUGAUCACGCUUGCAAGCGUGUGUGUUCCAGUGCUAUUCUCAUCUAUAUAGAUACGCGGAUCACCUCGCAGGUCCUCCAUCCUUCCGAGACAGCCAAUAGCCGCACCGUGUCAACCCAGACAGCUCCAAAAUAACUUCAGACGGAUUCGGUGGGAUGAGGAGGGGAGGGUUUUAUAUUUUUAUUAUGAGUGUGGAAAAAAUGGCACUGCAGGUUCAGG
ensembl:lncRNA